GAUGAACGCUAGCGAUAGGCUUAACACAUGCAAGUCGAGGGGCAGCAUGGUCUUAGCUUGCUAAGACUGAUGGCGACCGGCGCACGGGUGCGUAACGCGUAUGCAACUUGCCUCACAGAGGGGGAUAACCCGUCGAAAGACGGACUAAUACCGCGUACACUUGGGAUAGGGCAUCCUGACCCAAGGAAAUGAAAUUCGCUGUGAGAUAGGCAUGCGUCCCAUUAGCUAGUUGGUGAGGUAACGGCUCACCAAGGCGACGAUGGGUAGGGGAACUGAGAGGUUGAACCCCCACACUGGUACUGAGACACGGACCAGACUCCUACGGGAGGCAGCAGUGAGGAAUAUUGGUCAAUGGGCGAGAGCCUGAACCAGCCAAGUCGCGUGAAGGAUGACUGUCUUAUGGAUUGUAAACUUCUUUUAUACGGGAAUAACAAGAGCCACGUGGGGCUCCCUGCAUGUACCGUAUGAAUAAGCAUCGGCUAACUCCGU
rnacentral:rRNA from 1 species